rnacentral:misc_RNA from 1 species
GAUGAAGAACGUAGCGAAAUGCGAUAAGUAAUGUGAAUUGCAGAAUUCAGUGAAUCAUCGAAUCUUUGAACGCACAUUGCGCCCCCUGGUAUUCCGGGGGGCAUGCCUGUCCGAGCGUCAUUACAACCCUCAAGCUCAGCUUGGUGUUGGGCCCCGCCGCCCCGGCGGGCCCUAAAGUCAGUGGCGGUGCCGUCCGGCUCCGAGCGUAGUAAUUCUUCUCGCUCUGGAGGUCCGGUCGUGUGCUCGCCAGCAACCCCCAAUUUUUUUCAUGUUGACCUCGGAUCAGGUAGGGAUACCCGCUGAACUUAAGCAUAUCAAUAAGCGGAGGA